rnacentral:lncRNA from 10 species
GGAGCAGCCGCGUUUCGGGGACCCGGGCAGGCGUGGGGGGCUGCGCUGAGCUCCAGGCCUCCUGCAGGUAGGGAUGCUUUGCUGACAGAUUCGGGCGUCCUCCCCUGAACGAAUGUCCUGGCGGGGCGUGCCCAGCCACCAUCCAGCUUCAGAGGCAAUGGCCGGGCGUCGUGAGAAGGGGAGGGAGAAGGAAGCGGAAGAGAGAGAGUUGGAAAGACUAGAGGAAGAGGUGGCCACGUCUUUUGCCAUCCCAGCUUUAAACUGCAGUGUUUAAGGCCUCGUCUGCCCUGCUAAGGUCACCGAACUUUUUACUUUAUGUGAAAAGUGCUUCCCAAGGGAGGCACAGGGACUCCGGUUCUGAAACCGAUUAAUGGUCUUAGAGCCCCCAGUAAGCCGUUACCAAAGUGUCCGGGUCACAGUUGCAGAGGAAGUGAGAAGCGUGUUCGACCUCAUUUGAAACGGCUUCACAGAGGGUAAACCUCAAGUUGAUUUUGUAAAAAGGAAAGCCUGUGGUUUGGCCGAGAAGAAUAAAUAAUAUAUUCUAGAUCCACGUGUAGUGACUUGGUUUGGGAAAAAAGAAUCCACAGGGAGAGGAACAGCGCAGAGGGUUCUGUGGUCUAUCGCCCAGGCUGGCUUGCAGAGAACGGAAUUCAAUCUAGUUAGUUUAAGCAGAAAGGGAUUUGCGGCAGGAUAUUAAGUGGUUUACAGACUCUUUGGGAAGACUGAAGGAUCAGAUUCCAGACUGAUCUUUUAAGAACACGACCCAAAGCCACCCUGAAGAACUAAAGAAUCUAAUGCCCCUCCUCGAAUUCAGCAGACACCAGUGGCGUAGGGAAACGGUGGCCACAGCUGCUAGCCCCAGAACCAUGCCACCUGCCCGGGUCGGAAACCACCAUGACAGGCAAUUGAUAUAGUCAAGAAACUCCCCCAAGCCGA